CCCCUAGAUGUUCUGGGCCGCACGCGCGCUACACUGAACAGUUCAACAAGUCUUAACCUUGGCCGAUAGGUCUGGGUAAUCUUUGAACGCUGUUCGUGAUUGGGAUAGACCUUUGCAAUUAUGGGUCUUCAACGAGGAAUUCCUAGUAAACGCAAGUCAUCAGCUUGCAUUGAUUACGUCCCUGCCCUUUGUACACACCGCCCGUCGCACCUACCGAUUGAGUGCUCAGGUGAAUAGUAUGGACUGCAUCAGUGUUCGGUCUCCGAAUGUUGACGCGAGAAAUUCUGUGAAUCUUAUUGCUUAGAGGAAGGAGAAGUCGUAACA
rnacentral:rRNA from 1 species